GGAAGAUAUAUUAAUAUCCCAAUACAAUCCGUUACAAUGCUUUCUAGUUCAGUAGCAGUUGGUGAUGCUAUCCUAUCCAACUACAUUAAGACAAGCAUUUAACAUUUCACAUAGAAUUUCAGCCAACUUCAAGUACAAGGUUGGUUGAUAUGGUGCGAAUCAGAGUUUUAGAGAAGAGAAAAGAAGAAGAGAAAAGAGGAGAAAAAUUCGUUGAGUUCUUCAAGAUUCGCUCAUGGAUUUCGUCAAGGGGUGAUCCCUACGAGGCGGAGGUAAUCAGGAUCAACAUCCAGCACCUCGUUGAUCAUGUUGAGCACUCAGAGUCUGGUUGUGAGCCUUAUUGCUUCCUAGAGGAUCCUUUUUUCUUAUUUAAGUAUUAGUCAGUUUAUUAGAAUGUUGUGAUCCUGUCCCAACAUCCAUCUAAGUUAUUUUAGAGACUUCAUAGAUAAUCUAUCAGAUGUUAGUUCAUUUGUCAUCAUUUUGUUAUAUUCUUAUAUGCAGAUUUGAGUUGUCAUUUUAUCUAGGUUAAAUGUUUAUGUUUAAAACAUUAUGAGUUCAGUUUGAGAGAGUUGAGUUAUUCAUCA